rnacentral:sRNA from 1 species
AUUUUAUGCGCAUACAGGUUUUACCACUGCAUGUGUGCUUGGUGCCUACAGACCCAGGCGAAAGCAGAAGAAGGUGUCAGAUCCUCUGGAACUGCAGUUAAGGAAAGUUGUGAGCAAGCCACCAUCUGGAGAACAUUAAAAUGUUGGUAAUGAAGGAUGGUGAAGUGCUUCAGCAAAUAAAGGACUUGAACACAAGCCUGGAGUUCACUUGAGUUCACUUCCUAGAACCUACGUAAAGCUUUUGGGUCUGGAAGGAAUAGACUCCAUCAGCAAGGGAGAGGUGUGGUGGCAGGAGCAGGAAGCCAAGGGACUGACUACAUCUCCAACCGCAAACAAGCAGCAGAGAGAGCAAAUGGUGAGUGGCAUGAGGUUAUAUACUCUGAAAGCCCUCCUCUAGUGACAUACUUCCUAUAGCAGGGCCAUACUCCCCAAACCUCCCCAAAUAGCGCCCACAACUGGGGACCAAGUGUACAAUGCCUGAGCCUCUGGGGGGAGUGCAUUUCUCAUUUAAAUCAGAACAACAGCCUAUUGUAAAUUAAACUUACCCUUAUCCAUGUAGUGGUUUGAAUGAGAUGUCCCCUGUGGUCUGAGGAGUUAAAUACUUGGUCCCCAAUUGAUGGGUAUGACCUUACUGGAGGAAACAUGUCACUGGAGUUGGGCUUUGGUACCUCAAGAAGAUUGGUAUCAUUUCAAAUGUAUUCACUCUGCUUCCUGUUUAUUGUUCGAGACAUGAGCUCGCAGAUGCCGUUCCGGCCACCAUGGCUGCCUCCUACCGUGCUUCAUCACCAUGGAGAUGGACUCAUUCCUUUAUAAGCCCCAAAUGAACACUGCUAAAAGUUGAUUUUGUUGUGGUGUGCUAUCAAAGUAACUAAUACGCCCAACAGUCCUGCUCCUGGAUAUUUGUCAAAGAAAUAAAAAAAAAAAAAAACCAUGUCUAGUAAAAAUUGUUCUUAAGUGGUUGUAGCAAUGUUAUUUGUAAUAGCUUCGGUUAGAAAUGAUCCAAAAGGGCUGGAGAGAUGGC